GUCUAAAUAUAAACAAUUUUGUACUGUGAAACUGCGAAUGGCUCAUUAUAUCAGGUAUAGUCUACUCGAUAGUACCAUACUACUUAGAUAUCGGUAGUAAUGCUAGAGCUAAUACAUGCAUAAAUACCCACCUGUGUAUACGGGCGGGUAGCAAUUAUUAGAUUGAAACCAAUGCAGCCUCCAGGAUGGUGUUGUGUUGAAUCAUAAUAACUGUGCGGAUUGUGCUUUGCGCGAUAAAUAGAUUGAUUUUCUGCCCUAUCAGCUUUGGAUUGCUAGACACAUAGGGGCACCGAAAGUUUACACCUCUCGCAAAUGGUAAGUAUGAAGUGUUUUUGAUCUGAAUUACUGUUUGUACCUAAGUAGAG
rnacentral:ncRNA from 1 species